CCAGCAGCCGCGGUAAUUCCAGCUUCAAUAGCAUGUAUUAAAGUUGUUGCAGUUAAAUAGCUUGUAGUUGGAUUUCUGGAAAGAGCAUCUGGUCUCACACUCUGUGCAGGAUCUUGGAUGUCUCUUGCUAUCUGUGGGGAUAUCUUAUUUGGCAUUAAGCUGUCAGUCAGGAGAUACCCAUUGUUUACUGUAAAAAAUUAGAGUGUUUCAAGCAGGCUUAUACUGUUGAAUAUAUUAGCAUGGAUAAUAAGAUAGAACCCUGGUACUAUUUUGUUGGUUUGAGCAUUUGGGUAAUGAUCAAUAGAGACAGGUGGGGCUAUUUGUAAUGCAUUGUCAGAGGUGAAAAUCUUGGAUUUCUGUAAGACAAUCUACUGCAAAAGCAUUUAGUAAGGAUGUUUUCA
rnacentral:rRNA from 1 species